AGAGUUUGAUCCUGGCUCAGGAUGAACGCUAGCUACAGGCUUAACACAUGCAAGUCGAGGGGCAGCAUUUUAGUUUGCUUGCAAACUAAAGAUGGCGACCGGCGCACGGGUGAGUAACACGUAUCCAACCUGCCGAUAACUCAGGGAUAGCCUUUCGAAAGAAAGAUUAAUACCUGAUGGCAUAGGAUUAUCGCAUGAUAAUCCUAUUAAAGAAUUUCGGUUAUCGAUGGGGAUGCGUUCCAUUAGGCAGUUGGUGAGGUAACGGCUCACCAAACCUUCGAUGGAUAGGGGUUCUGAGAGGAAGGUCCCCCACAUUGGAACUGAGACACGGUCCAAACUCCUACGGGAGGCAGCAGUGAGGAAUAUUGGUCAAUGGACGGGAGUCUGAACCAGCCAAGUAGCGUGAAGGAUGACUGCCCUAUGGGUUGUAAACUUCUUUUAUACGGGAAUAAAGUGAUCCACGUGUGGAUUUUUGUAUGUACCGUAUGAAUAAGGAUCGGCUAACUCCGUGCCAGCAGCCGCGGUAAUACGGAGGAUCCGAGCGUUAUCCGGAUUUAUUGGGUUUAAAGGGAGCGUAGGUGGAUUGUUAAGUCAGUUGUGAAAGUUUGCGGCUCAACCGUAAAAUUGCAGUUGAUACUGGCAGUCUUGAGUACAGUAGAGGUGGGCGGAAUUCGUGGUGUAGCGGUGAAAUGCUUAGAUAUUACGAAGAACUCCGAUUGCGAAGGCAGCUCACUGGACUGCAACUGACACUGAUGCUCGAAAGUGUGGGUAUCAAACAGGAUUAGAUGCCCGGGUAGUCCACACAGUAAACGAUGAAUACUCGCUGUUUGCGAUAUACAGUAAGCGGCCAAGCGAAAGCGUUAAGUAUUCCACCCUGGGGAGUACGCCGACAGCGGUGAAACUCAAAGGAAUUGACGGGGGCCCGCACAAGCGGAGGAACAUGUGGUUUAAUUCGAUGAUACGCGAGGAACCUUACCCGGGCUUAAAUUACAUUUGAAUAAUCUGGAAACAGUUUAGCCGUAAGGCAAAUGUGAAGGUGCUGCAUGGUUGUCGUCAGCUCGUGCCGUGAGGUGUCGGCUUAAGUGCCAUAACGAGCGCAACCCUUAUCUUCAGUUACUAACAGGUCAUGCUGAGGACUCUGGAGAGACUGCCGUCGUAAGAUGUGAGGAGGGUGGG
rnacentral:rRNA from 1 species